CGCGUAGGCGGCCUGUCAAGUCAUCUGUGAAAUCUCCGGGCUUAACUCGGAACGGUCAGAUGAUACUGUCAGGCUAGAGUGCAGAAAGGGCAAUCGGAAUUCUUGGUGUAGCGGUGAAAUGCGUAGAUAUCAAGAGGAACACCUGAGGCGAAGGCGGGUUGCUAGGCUGACACUGACGCUGAGGCGCGAAAGCCAGGGGAGCAAACGGGAUUAGAUACCCCGGUAGUCCUGGCCCUAAACGAUGAAUACUUGGUGUCUGGAAUUAUUAUUGUUCCGGGUGCCGUAGCUAACGUUUUAAGUAUUCCGCCUGGGGAGUACGCACGCAAGUGUGAA
rnacentral:rRNA from 1 species